rnacentral:rRNA from 1 species
GACGGGAGCUUGCUCCCUUAGGUCAGCGGCGGACGGGUGAGUAACACGUGGGUAACCUGCCUGUAAGACUGGGAUAACUCCGGGAAACCGGGGCUAAUACCGGAUGCUUGAUUGAACCGCAUGGUUCAAUCAUAAAAGGUGGCUUUCAGCUACCACUUACAGAUGGACCCGCGGCGCAUUAGCUAGUUGGUGAGGUAACGGCUCACCAAGGCGACGAUGCGUAGCCGACCUGAGAGGGUGAUCGGCCACACUGGGACUGAGACACGGCCCAGACUCCUACGGGAGGCAGCAGUAGGGAAUCUUCCGCAAUGGACGAAAGUCUGACGGAGCAACGCCGCGUGAGUGAUGAAGGUUUUCGGAUCGUAAAACUCUGUUGUUAGGGAAGAACAAGUACCGUUCGAAUAGGGCGGCACCUUGACGGUACCUAACCAGAAAGCCACGGCUAACUACGUGCCAGCAGCCGCGGUAAUACGUAGGUGGCAAGCGUUGUCCGGAAUUAUUGGGCGUAAAGCGCGCGCAGGCGGUUUCUUAAGUCUGAUGUGAAAGCCCCCGGCUCAACCGGGGAGGGUCAUUGGAAANUGGGGAACUUGAGUGCAGAAGAGGAGAGUGGAAUUCCACGUGUAGCGGUGAAAUGCGUAGAGAUGUGGAGGAACACCAGUGGCGAAGGCGACUCUCUGGUC